UGACCCAGUCCCCGAGCAGCCCAUUCCUGCCUGGCACCACAGGGAUCCAACGGGCGAGAAACAGAGGGUAAAACUACACAGAGAGAAGGAAAUCUCUAGCUGAACUUUGUAACAAUUCGAACAGCGUGAGAAGUCUCCUGGCCAGACUCGGGGGAGGACACAAAUCUCGUGCACAGUUAAUAUCCAGAGUCACACGUGGAGAGGAAACAUCACAAUGAGACCAUGCAACCAUAUAAUCUGUUCAAGUCCUAGAAGGUGUUGGCAGAACUGCAGGACUGACCUAGGUCAAUGGCUGUGGGUGUCUGCUAACAGAUUUAACUGCCUGCCACCUGAGCACUCAAGCCACCACAGCACUCAAUCAAGACAGGAUUUGGAGUUUCUACAACCAGCAUCACUGAUGGUGACAGAGACACAUUCCUUCACAUAUAACUGGGUUUUCUUUUUUCUGAGGUACCAAGUGUUUGCCACCAACGGUGUAUCUAAGACACAAUGCCUGGCUAGUCUUUUGCUAUCAGAAAGGUGCAGCAUCUCAUACCUGUAAUCCCAGCACUUUGGGAGACAAAGGCGGGUAGAUCACCUGAGGUCAGGAGUUCCAGACCAGCCUGGCC
rnacentral:lncRNA from 1 species